rnacentral:rRNA from 1 species
AUUGAACGCUGGCGGCAUGCCUUACACAUGCAAGUCGAACGGCAGCACGGGUGCUUGCCCCUGGUGGAGCGUGGCGCACGGGUGAGUAACCCAUCAGUACAUGUCCUGUAGGGGGGGAUAGUCCGGCGACAGCCGGAUUAAUAGCGUACACGAUCCACGGAUGAAAGGGGGGGCCUUUCGGCCCACGCGAUAAGAGGAUGGCCGAUGGCAGAUUAGCUAGUUGGUGGGGUAAAGGCCUACCAAGGCGACGAUCAGUAUCGGGUCUGAGAGGAUGACCAGCCACACUGGGACUGAGACACGGCCCAGACUCCUACGGGAGGCAGCAGUGGGGAAUAUUGGACAAUGGGCGAAAGCCUGAUCCAGCAAUGCCGCGUGUGUGAAGAAGGCCUUCGGGUUGUAAAGCACUUUUGGCCGGAAGGAAAGCCAUUACGCUAAUACAGUCGGGGGAUGACGGUACCGGAAGAAUAAGCACCGGCUAACUACGUG